UUGGCCUAUACUUAAUGCAAGCCAUCUCCGAUAAUUUAUGUUAAAAACUUAAUAAAUAAUUCGCCCUCAAACUACCUCAAGAUAAGAGA
rnacentral:rRNA from 1 species